AAGCGGCAACAGCUCAAAUUUGAAAUCUGGCCUCUGCGGGGUCCGAGUUGUAAUUUGGAGAGGAUGUUUCGGGCACGGUCCGGGCUUAAAUUUCUUGGAACAGAAUGUCACAGAGGGUGAGAAUCCCGUCUGGAGUCCGGACACGGCCCAUGUGAAACUCCUUCGACGAGUCGAGUUGUUUGGGAAUGCAGCUCUAAAUGGGUGGUAAAUUUCAUCUAAAGCUAAAUAUUGGCCAGAGACCGAUAGCGCACAAGUAGAGUGAUCGAAAGAUGAAAAGCACUUUGAAAAGAGAGUUAAACAGUACGUGAAAUUGUUGAAAGGGAAGCGCUGUCAACCAGACUUGCGCGUCGGGGUUCCCCCUUGCUUCUGCCUGGGUUACUCCCCGGCGUUCAGGCCAACAUCGGUUUCGGGGGUUGGUUAAAGGCCCUGGGAAUGUAUCUACCCUCCGGGGUAGACUUAUAGCCCAGGGUGUCAUGCGACCUCCCGGGACCGAGGAACGCGCUUCGGCUCGGAUGUUGGCGUAAUGGUUGUCAGCGACCCGUCUUGAAACACGGACCAAGGAGUCUAACAUCUAUGCGAGUGUUAGGGUGUCAAACCCUUACGCGGAAUGAAAGUGAACGGAGGUAGGAAGCCUUAAGGCUGCACUAUCGACCGAUCCUGAUGUCUUCGGAUGGAUUUGAGUAAGAGCAUAGCUGUUGGGACCCGAAAGAUGGUGAA
rnacentral:rRNA from 1 species